UACGGAGGGUGCAAGCGUUAUCCGGAUUCACUGGGUUUAAAGGGUGCGUAGGCUGGCAGGUAAGUCAGUGGUGAAAUCCUAGAGCUUAACUCUAGAACUGCCAUUGAUACUAUCUGUCUUGAAUAUUGUGGAGGUAAGCGGAAUAUGUCAUGUAGCGGUGAAAUGCUUAGAUAUGACAUAGAACACCUAUUGCGAAGGCAGCUUACUACGCAUAUAUUGACGCUGAGGCACGAAAGCGUGGGGAUCAAACAGG
rnacentral:rRNA from 1 species